UGGGGAAUAUUGGACAAUGGGCGCAAGCCUGAUCCAGCCAUGCCGCGUGAGUGAUGAAGGCCCUAGGGUUGUAAAGUUCUUUCACCGGUGAAGAUAAUGACGGUAACCGGAGAAGAAGCCCCGGCUAACUUCGUGCCAGCAGCCGCGGUAAUACGAAGGGGGCUAGCGUUGUUCGGAUUUACUGGGCGUAAAGCGCACGUAGGCGGACUAUUAAGUCAGGGGUGAAAUCCCGGGGCUCAACCCCGGAACUGCCUUUGAUACUGGUAGUCUUGAGUUCGAGAGAGGUGAGUGGAAUUCCGGGUGUAGAGGUGAAAUUCGUAGAUAUUCGGGGGAACACCAGUGGCGAAGGCGGCUCACUGGCUCGAUACUGACGCUGAGGUGCGAAAGCGUGGGGAGCAAACAGG
rnacentral:rRNA from 1 species